GCAAAUCUUUCAGUUGACAAUUUUACCCUUUUUUUAUUAUAUUUUUUCUCUAUUCCUUUUUAUUUUCUUAAAUUAUUGGUAUCCUUUAUAUUUUUAUAAAUUUUUAUAAUACUUAAAUACUCUCUAAUUCGAAUUCCUUUAUUACUCUAAUAUCUCAUGUCACGUCUCUUCUCUAUCUACUUCCCAUUUCUUUUGAAACUCUUGCCCCUUUCUCUAUCUCUCUCUCUCCCUCUCGUGGUCUCUCAUGGUCUCUCCUACUUUCCCUUUUUUCUUUAUUUGCACAUGCAUAGCCUCGCUUCCCCUCUAUCACAUAGACCCUACGCAUUCAGAGCCCAAUCGAUCAAUGAAUUGUUUCCAACAGCUUGGAAGCCAAGAAGAACAUCAGAUUCAGAAAUUCCAAGAUCAAAAUGUCUCUUUAUCUGAAAUUCUAAGCAGCGAAAUUGAACUUCUGAUUAUCUAUUUGAUCUCAUCAACUAACCUAUGAUGAAGCCUUCGACUUAGCCUCACUCUUGGUUCAUGUUAACGGGAACUGUAAGCUAAGAAAGUUCCUUGGGGCCUAUAUUGUUAUUCAUGGUCAGUCCGAUGCACUUUGGCAAAAUAUGCAACUAAUUUAUCCCGAAAUCUAUUUAUCAAUUGAUGAUUAGAGGGUUUUCGUUUGGAUUACACUGAUGAUCUCUGCAUCCGGCAUUCGAUCUUCACCAUUGAUUUGGUAAGAUUUUCACUUUUCUUUUUUAAUUUUAAGAUGGUAUUUCUCAUCGUAUAUUAAUUUAUUUUUUUUGGUUAAUUCUAAUUCCUCCAGAUUGUGGGGUGAAUAUGGUUAAUGCCAUCUAAAAUGAUGAAAUCAAUGAUCUGAUGUGUUAUGAAAUCAAUGAUCUGAUGUGUUAUCUUUCACCCAGCAAUUUAAAUUUCAUUGUUCUGUUUAUCUCUCACUUUAUUCUUCUAUUGCAUAUGUUAAGGUUUUUUUUUUUCCUAAGCUCUCAUAUCGAGUCUGAAUGGGUUUCUUGGGUUCUCUUAAUUUAACUUUACCUUUGUUCCUCAAAAGUUUCUUCUAUAAUAUAUUUAUCUACUUGUUGAAAAGGUUUAAAAAUAAAGUUAUUAAUGACUUCCCUCUUUGAAGGUAUUGACAGUUCUCAAAAUUCAUCAGUAGUAAAUUUCACUUAAGUCUCAAAACCUAGAUUUUGUUGUUCUAUUUCCUUGUUAGUACAGAUGGGCUUGUUACGUUUUCCUCAAAUGAAUGAUUAGAUUAAUUAUGUUGUUAAGUUGCUUGAUUCUCCUAUAGGCUAACACCUUAGCAUUUCUUGGAGUUGGAUAUAAAAAAAUAUGGAAAGUAAUAGGAUACUUUAGCUACAAUUAAAAUCAAUCCAGCCAUGGGUGGAACCUGAAAUUUCAUUAGUUGAUCUUUACAUGACAAAAGUAUUAUUCCUCUAUAUUUUGGUUGUUAGUUUACUUGAUCCUUCUCCAUUUGAUAAUUAAUUGAUUUUAUUUUUCUUGUGCAUUGUGAUGUUUCACGUGUUGUGGCUACCCAGAUUUCGAGCCAUGAUGCCAGCUUCUUGUGCAAAGGGGAUGUGGCCUUAAGCAAACUUAUCCUAGAAUCAUCAACUUCUAGCCGCAAAAUUUUCAUUUGGGAAGCUUUUUGUGAAUCUUGAGGCAACAGUAAUAGAAAUGUAGAUUGACAUCAAAAGUCAAGUAUGAUUCCCAGAGGAUACUGAAGCUUGCUCUGAUCAGGUUUGGCCUCAAUUUGUGUUCCAGCUACUUACCAGAGGUCCAAGGGCUAAUCUUUACAUGGAUUUGAGGAUGGCAAAAUUUGUUUUUUUCCUUAAGAAUUUGCAAAGGCUUUGUGGCAAAGAUGCUGAUAUCAUUGAGGAAGUAGCUAAAAUUCAGGCUUUGUAACCUGUUCAAGGACAGCAGGCUUGUUGGACUCACGAAGUCAGUUUUUAUGCAUGUCAACUGAGUUGGAUAUCAAGGUUGGUUCUAGAAUUGGGACAGCACAUUGAAACUGAGUUCCAUAUUUACUGAUGGGCAAGAUGGCAGGCUGAAGGACAUAUCAGUCUCUACCAUGUCAAUAUUUGGAGAAAUUCUACCUUUCUAUGCUGCUGGCCUUCUGUCUUCCUUUACAGCCAGAAGAUCUGACCCUUGAUUGAUAACAUUCAUAUUCUCCUCCUUUUCAUUAGGCCCGUUUCUAUGACGGGUGCGAAGGGUGGAAUACCUGUAAGGAUGGGUUUCACAUGUUGUGGGUUGGGUUAGAAAGGAAAGGAAAGGGUAUGAAAUAAUGGAAUAUAUAAUUUUUAGUGGUAUGGAAUUUGGUGGGAAAGAGUGGAAAUGGGGGUGGGAUUCUAUGGGAAAUAGAGAAAAUAUGAGCAGGAGAGACAUAGACUAAAGAAACAUUCCCAUGAAUAAUGCCAAUUUUGGAAGUGAGUGGGGUGGGAAAAAUUUGAAUGCCAAAGACAACAAUAAUUGCAUUUAAAAAAGAACUUGGUAAGUUUUUCACUCCACUUAUCCUAACAUUUUUGUUUGUGAUAGUUUGUGACAAACAAGUAGAAAAUUUCCAUCCCCUUUUACCUUUUCAAACAAGACCUUUGGGAAAUCUUUGCUAUUUAUCAAGACGAGACAUGAUAGUGCACUUUGGUGUUAUUUGAAAGAAAUCAGAAUGUGCUACUCUUGAUGGGUUUGAUGUUGAUUAGGAAAUGAGUCUAUCACUUCCAUUUCCAUAUGGUGUUGCAGUGCGGUGAUCGAAAAAGAUAAGGAUAUCAGGCAAGUGAAUGAAAUGUCCCUUGUGCUUCACUGCAUUGAAGAUCUAACAAGUUGGAGCAAGCAUGGAAAAUGUUUGGAACUCAGUUUGGGGAAGGUUUCUUUAAACAGGCUCCACAAAGAUAAUUCUCUAUUACAAGCAACCCAUUUCCCUACCAUGUGGAGUAUUGCGUUAGCUAAUCCCAUCACUAAAAAGCAAGAUAUAUCUGCUUCUCUAUUGAUCCAAAUAUGGUGAAAUUGUCAAAUUUGGAGGAUAUGUAUGAACUAAGUUUCUCUCCACCGAUGGCCAUUAGUGAUUUGACCCUGGAAUUAGAUUUUGUGAAAGGUGGAUGUCAUCAUUAACUCCAAUAAAUUUUGCCCUGUCGAAUUCCAUGAUGAAGAAAGUGUUAGGAUACGAGGUCUUGUAUUUUGUCGCUUGCAUUAGUGUGUUAAUUCCAAAGGGCUAUUAAGAGGCCAUAGGGCCUGAGGAUUAUUUUUAGAGCUAUAUAGAUAUUUUGGUAAACAACCUGUAUAGAAUUUUGAUACAAAUUUAUUGUGAGAUUUUUUUUUUUCUAUAAUCUAUAUGAAAGGUGUGAGUAUAAGUGAUUGUAACCUUAUUCUCCAUUGACAGUGAAAUAGAUUUUCUCUCAUCAUGGAUAUAGACAAUCUUGUCGAAUCACGUAAAUCUUAGCUGUGUAAUUUUUGUUUGUGAUUUUCAUUAUCACUUUGAACCACGGGGCAAACAGAGAUUGAGUCCAUUCCUAAUUCCCCAAAAUCUAGAAAGAUCACUUCACAGAUUCUGAUUCAGCCAAUGGA